UAGCCGUAAACGAUACUCGCUAGGUGUCGGCCACGGUGCGACCGUUGUCGGUGCCGUAGGGAAGCCGUGAAGCGAGCCACCUGGGAAGUACGGCCGCAAAGCUGGAACUUAAAGGAAUUGGCGGGGGAGCACCACAACGGGUGGAGCUUGCGGUUUAAUUGGAUUCAACGCCGGAAAUCUUACCGGGACCGACAGCAACAUGAAGGCCAGGCUGAAGACUUUGCCGGAUUAGCUGAGAGGAGGUGCAUGGCGUAGUCGUGU
rnacentral:rRNA from 1 species